UCGCGGUACGCUCCCGCUGCUAUUCAGCUGUCGGGCUAAUUAGCAGUCGAGGUGUGCGGCUAGGCGCGGGCUCUGCAGGAGCUCAGCCCCACGGAGGGAGCCGGCAGCGGCGCGGCGAGGACGGCGGCGGACCGGGGAAGCCCCGCGCCCUGGCCAGCUCUACUGAAAUGAAGAAAGAAAAACAAUACAUGCCCAGCUCCAGAGACACGUAAAGGGACAGAGAUUGGGGGACAGAAGGAAGUGCAUUAAUUCCCUCCACGACCCCUGAAGAGCAGCAGUGGGUCUGAGCAUCCUAUCUCCAGGAAGCGGGCCAGCAGGCAAGCCAGCUGCCACCUCGUUCACCCUGUGCAAAGCACAGGCACCGUCCCCAAAAGAUAUAGAAGACUUAGAUCACUACGAGAUGAAAGCAGAGCCCAUUAGUGGGAAAAAGUUGGAGGAUGAAGGAAUUGCAAAAGAAAAUUUGGCAAUAUUAGAGAAAUUAGGAAGACUGAAAGGCAAGAGCAUUUAACUGCGGUUGACCCUGCUAGUCCUUUGCACAGUGAUCUUCAGAUCUUAAAAGAAAAAGAAGGCAUAGGAGAUACUUUGCUUAACUUAUCUUUUAAGAAACUGUUGUCGUUGUCAACUGGGUUGUCUUCCUGAAGUAUGAAUCCGCCAAUGGCUCCUGACACCAGAAAGAAGGGCCUUUUUCUGUGGUUGGAGUAUUUCUUAAGAGUCCUGAGAAAAAUGUGAUUGCCUUGAGCUAACUGACCUUCUGAAGAGGACCUUAAACUGAAUUUCCAAGUUAUUAGUGUCGGGAUUCACAGACUUUGGAGAAUAGCAGGUAUGUAUUGUGUGGAGGAGCAUUACGUAUUGAACUUCUCACAAAACAGGGCUGAAGCAGUGCCUACUCGACAGAACCGGUCAUCGUACAAAGAAAUGCCACCUGACUCAAAGGCAAAGCCAGAGUACAGCUUGGAGCAAAG
rnacentral:lncRNA from 1 species